rnacentral:rRNA from 1 species
AACGAACGCUGGCGGCAGGCUUAACACAUGCAAGUCGAACGGGUGUAGCAAUACAUCAGUGGCAGACGGGUGAGUAACACGUGGGAACCUUCCUCGUUGUACGGAACAACUCAGGGAAACUUGAGCUAAUACCGUAUACGUCCGAGAGGAGAAAGAUUUAUCGCAAGGAGACGGGCCCGCGUCGGAUUAGCGAGUUGGUGGGGUAACGGCCUACAAAGGCGACGAUCCGUAGCUGAUCUGAGAGGAUGAUCAGCCACACUGGGACUGAGACACGGCCCAGACUCCUACGGGAGGCAGCAGUGGGGAAUCUUGGACAAUGGGCGCAAGCCUGAUCCAGCCAUGCCGCGUGAGUGAAGAAGGCCUUCGGGUUGUAAAGCUCUUUUGUCAGGGACGAUAAUGACGGUACCUGAAGAAUAAGCCCCGGCAAACUUCGUGCCAGCCGCCGCCGUAACAC